rnacentral:rRNA from 1 species
CCGAAUGGGGAAACCCAGUGUGAUUCGUCACACUAUCAUUAACUGAAUCCAUAGGUUAAUGAGGCGAACCGGGGGAACUGAAACAUCUAAGUACCCCGAGGAAAAGAAAUCAACCGAGAUUCCCCCAGUAGCGGCGAGCGAACGGGGAGGAGCCCAGAGCCUGAAUCAGCAUGUGUGUUAGUGGAAGCGUCUGGAAAGGCGCGCGAUACAGGGUGACAGCCCCGUACACAAAAGCGCAUGUGCUGUGAGCUCGAUGAGUAGGGCGGGACACGUGGUAUCCUGUCUGAAUAUGGGGGGACCAUCCUCCAAGGCUAAAUACUCCUGACUGACCGAUAGUGAACCAGUACCGUGAGGGAAAGGCGAAAAGAACCCCGGCGAGGGGAGUGAAAAAGAACCUGAAACCGUGUACGUACAAGCAGUGGGAGCACAGGUUUACCUGUGUGACUGCGUACCUUUUGUAUAAUGGGUCAGCGACUUAUAUU